GCGCGCCCGCGUGUGGGCUCCUUUGCAGAGGACUCGGUAGCUGCAGCUCCCGGAGCACAGCGGACAGAGCUGCGGGCUGCGUGCGCCCCUGCUGCCACCGGGCCUGCCGCGGUGGCUCCCGCGCCCCGCGGCGACUUCCGCUCCCGCGCUUCUCUUUGUUCAAGUCCCCGAGCGGCGGCGGGGUCGGAGCCCGCGCCUUGGGCGACUGAGGCGGCCGCAGUCCGCGCCCCGGCGCCCUGGCGAUGCCGGACCAGAUCUCUGUGUCGGAAUUCGUGGCCGAGACCCUUGAGGACUACAAGGCGCCCACUGCCUCUAGCUUCACGCGCACGGCCCAGUGCCGGAACACCGCGGCGGCCAUCGAGGAGGCUACACUUGGGAAAACCAUCAUAUUGAAAGACAUUGUCAAAGUUCAAGAAGAAAUGAAAGGUUUAGUCUCCACUGCCAGCUGCCAUAGGCAAGCAGAACAGCAAGCUGGGUCCUGAGGUGCUGCAGGACCUGCGGAAACACAGGGAGUUCACUGACCAUGAGCUUCAGGAGUGGUAGAAGGACUCCCUCAAUGACUGUCCCACUGGCUACCUGACUGUGGACAAUUUUAAGAUCUAGGCCAACUUCUUCCCCUACAGAGACACCUCCAAGAUCACUGAACAUGUCUUCCACACCUUUGUCACCAACAGUGACGUCUCCAUCGACUUCCGAGUGUUCAUCAUUGCUCUGAGCCUGACCUCUCGGGGCAAGCUGGAACAGAAGGUCAAGUGGGCCUUCAGCAUGUCUGACCUAGACAGCAAUGGCUACAUCAGCUUCAGUGAAAUGCUGGAGUUAGUGCAGGUACCUGCACUUGACAGGGCCUGGCACAUGGGGAGUGCAGGCAUCCAGGACCCCCAUCCCCAGCCCCAUACACCAGGUCAUUCCUCUGCCCUCUUGCUACCUGGUGUACUAAAGGACUGCAUGUCUUUGCACAGAAUAACAAUAAAAGCCAAGCAUCUAUCGAUUGCUUGCUGGACAUC
rnacentral:lncRNA from 1 species